UACGGAGGGGGCUAGCGUUGUUCGGAAUUACUGGGCGUAAAGCGCACGUAGGCGGCUUUGUAAGUUAGAGGUGAAAGCCCGGGGCUCAACUCCGGAAUUGCCUUUAAGACUGCAUCGCUAGAAUUGUGGAGAGGUAAGUGGAAUUCCGAGUGUAGAGGUGAAAUUCGUAGAUAUUCGGAAGAACACCGGGUGGCGAAGGCGGGUCUCUGGGCCGUAACUGACGCUGAGGAGCGAAAGCGUGGGGAGCGAACAGG
rnacentral:rRNA from 1 species